GGUGAGUAACGCGUAUGCAACCUACCUUUGGCACGGGGACAGCCCGGGGAAACCCGGAUUAAUACCCGGUAUAGUCUGUUAUACACCUGUAUAAAAGACGAGAGCUACGGCGGCCAAAGAUGGGCAUGCGUGCCAUUAGUUAGUUGGUAGGGUAACGGCCUACCAAGGCAUCGAUGGCUACGGGGUCUAAAAGGAUGAGCCCGCACACUGGUACUGAGACACGGACCAGACUCCUACGGGAGGCAGCAGUGAGGAAUAUUGGUCAAUGGGUGGAAGCCUGAACCAGCCAUGCCGCGUGCAGGAAGACGGCCUUAUGGGUUGUAAACUGCUUUUCUACGGGACGAACGGCUCUGACGUGUCAGAGAUUGACGGUACCGUAGGAAUAAGCAUCGGCUAACUCCGUGCCAGCAGCCGCGGUAAUACGGAGGAUGCGAGCGUUAUCCGGAUUUAUUAGGUUUAAAGGGUGCGUAGGCUGGGCAAUAAGUCAGUGGUGAAAGUCCGCGGCUCAACCGUGGGAUUGCCAUUGAAACUGUUGUUCUUGAGUACAGUCGAGGUAGGCGGAAUGUGUAAUGUAGCGGUGAAAUGCAUAGAUAUUACCCAGAACACCGAUUGCGUAGGCAGCUUACCAGCCUGGAACUGACGCUGAUGCACGAAAGCGUGGGGAGCGAACAGGAUUAGAUACCCUGGUAGUCCACGCCGUAAACGAUGAUCACUCGCUGUUGGCAAUAUAGAGUCAGCGGCUGAGCGAAAGCAUUAAGUGAUCCACCUGGGGAGUACGUCGGCAACGAUGAAACUCAAAGGAAUUGACGGGGGCCCGCACAAGCGGUGGAACAUGUGGUUUAAUUCGAUGAUACGCGAGGAACCUUACCUGGGCUUAAAUGUAGCCGGACGAUUCCGGAAACGGGAUUUCCUUAACGGCUGGUUACAAGGUGCUGCAUGGCUGUCGUCAGCUCGUGCCGUGAGGUGUCGGGUUAAGUCCCAUAAUGAGCGCAACCCUUAUUGUUAGUCGCCAGCGGGUAGAGCCGGGGACUCUAAGGAGAGUGCCACUGUAAGGUGUGAGGA
rnacentral:rRNA from 1 species